UGAUUUGGAAAACUUUUUUAUCAACGAGAACUUGAUUGGUUUGAACACUAUUGAAGAUGCACUCGAGGAAAAAUUAGAUAUUUAUGUUAAAUUGUUCGCAAUCCUCUAUGCAGAUGAUACUGUGCUAAUGGCGGAAUCGGCCAAAAAAUCUUCAAUUAUUGCUAGAUAAAUUCCACUCAUAUUGUGAUGUCUGGAAAAUGAAAGUUAAUGUAGAAAAAACAAAAAUUGUAAUUUUUAGUAAAGGAAGACAACCCAAAAAUCUCAGUUUUACAUAUGAUAACUCUGUUAUAGAUAUCGUUCAAGAAUUCAACUAUCUUGGGAUCUAUUUUUCACGAAAUGGGACAUUUAAACACUGUAGAAAACACUCAGCAGAAAAAGCUACAAAGGCAAUGUAUGAGGUAAUCAAAAAGGGGAGAAAACAUGGGUUAUCUAUUAGUUGUCAAUUAGAUUUAUUUGACAAGUUAGUGAAACCGGUCUUAUUGUACGGUUGUGAAAUUUGGGGGUUUGGGAAUAACGACAUUUCGGAGAAAGUUCAAUUAAAAUUCUGUAAGCUUCUUCUGCACCUAAAGUCUUCUACCCCAAAUUGCGUAAUAUAUGGUGAACUUGGACGAUAUUCCAUCAAUUUAGAUAUUAAAGUCCGUAUGGUAUCAUUUUGGGUGAAAUUAGUAUGUGGUAAACCGACUAAAUUAUCAGCGACCAUUUAUAAACUACUGUAUAAGCUGUCAAAUGAAAAUGAUGUACAUUUUAGAUGGUUAAACCAUGUUGAAUCUAUUUUUAAUGAAACGGGAUUAUCUUUUGUGUGGUUGUCUCAAACAUGUAUUAGUGACAUUUGGCUAAAGAAUACAAUCAGAACAUCACUCCAAGAUCAGUUUCAACAAACAUGGUUUUCAAAUGUUCAAGCAUGUUCGAAGACAUUAAAUUAUCGAAUUUUUAAGGAUACUUUUGGGUUUGAGAACUAUUUUGAUAUUUUAGAAUUUCGUGAUAUUUAUACGUUAUGCAAAUUUAGAACC
rnacentral:lncRNA from 1 species